GAUAAAUAUGUCAUUUCAAAGAAAUAAUUAAUCUGGAAUAUAUUGAAGGCAUGAAAAAUUGAGAUAGGAAAGUUAUUCAUUAAUUAAUUCAACAAGUAAUUAUUAUGUGUAUUUCUGGGCAUUGAACUACAGUGCCAGUCCAGUUGAAGAGAUGGAAAAGGAAGUGCCAGAAGGAAAAAUGGACUUUGCAGAUAUCAAGAUGAUCAAACAGACAAUACUAUACGACCAAAUGGAUACGGAGUCAAGAAAGGAGGGGAGUCAAAGGCGACUCUGAAGUUCCUAAUGAAUGGGAGGAAUAGUGUUAAGAAAAUUAAAAGACGGAGACAAUUUCAGGGACAUGAUGAAUUCAGUUAAAAAUACAUCCAACUUGAAGUAUAGGGAAGAGAAAUACUCAGGUUCUUUCUCUACAGAAGAUACCUAAAUGGUAAGUGUGGUACUGAACUGAUAAACUGAAGUUGCUAAAGUGGUUAGUAAAUGAAAGGAAGGAGAAGCAAAGGAAAGUCUUAGCCUCCAACUCUGUUUCAUGCUAAACUAGCAUACUCACUUAUCAGCACACCAGAUAUAAGCCAAAUCUUUGAGGAGAGAUAUAAUUCCCUUCAUGAUCUCAGAUGAGGAAGCUGAGAUUCAAAAAGGUCAAAAUCUGGCCAAAGACACAAGGCUAAAAGGAGGAUUAAAACCCUGGAUAAACCUUGACUAGAAUCUACCAAACCACAGUCUGAAGGAGUGAUUCUGAAUCAGAGAGUUUGGAUAUUGAAGUUUAAUAACCAACAUAAAAAGAUGCAAUUUUGGUUUGAAUAAAGACAUUUGGCUGAAGACAACAAACAACUAAGGGUCUGCUCAAGAAUCUUUGCAGUUAAUUUCUAGAGGAAAAAAAAAAAAAAAAAAAAAAAAAAAACCAGGGUCUAUACUUACUUUGCCAUUCAUGGUUUUCCCAUCUCUGCCAUACAUCAACUGCAAAUUUAGGAAUGGUUUUGAAGGCUACAUCAAAGUAGUCUUAAUUUAAAGAUAGAUUGAUUGGUCUGGCUCCUUGGCUUAUUUACAGGGUUCUACUGUUAUCUGAUGAAGUAAGGUU
rnacentral:lncRNA from 1 species